UCUUUCCUUUGGUCUCCAGUAUCUUCUCUUGAAUUACUGUGUCAGCUCUGUAGAGAGAAGGGAAAGGAGGAGUGUUCUGUAACAGCCAAAGGCUAAACAGACACAACUUCUCAACUUGUCACUGCAGGGAGGUGUUCCAUCUCUUGGAUCAUUUCUGUGGCCAUCCUGUGGAUAUGCUCCAGUAGGUCUGUGUCUUCCGUGUGCUGAGGAGAUAUAAAUUGCUUUGAACAGGAAGUCCACAGAUGCUAAAGGGACUACAGUAAUACAUGCAGAAGCACAGAGGACUUCUUAAGGAUAUUGGGGGAAUACCAGCCUGCUUUCUUCCCUUGGUUGCUGUCACACUAAAUCUCACCCUGGGAUGUGUCCUCAGACAAGAUGGUCAGUCUUGUCUGCUUUUAGACGAAUGAGGUCAAUGAACUCUUCCCUCAGGCAAUAACUUUCAGAGGGACUGUCUUAGUUGUCCCCUUCUGUCAAAACGCAACCUGCAGAUGGUUCUUGGUAGAGCUCAGCACCAUCCUUCAUGGCCUAGACUACUUGGGAAAAACAAGAUAUGAGCAUAACUUUCCGUAACUAUCUUUGUCAUCUCCUGGUUUAAAAAACAGGCAGGUAAACAUGGAGCUGGGCACCAAGACAAUCCAUCCAGUUUACAUGAGAAAUGCCAGUGGGAUGUGACAGUCACAGAUGGCUGUUGAGCUUUCAGGUCACAUUUGCUUUAAACUUAUACAGGCCGUUUUGGACUGACGGCUUACCAAAUGUAUCUGCUAAUGAAGGUGCCUGAAGUUAAUUGCAUCUCCAUUUAUCCAAACCAUAAAACCCUCUAAAAAGCCAGCAAACUGUUUGCUGGUACCUAAAAUGCGGUGCAGAAAUAGGCAGAGGAGCAGCCACACUUCUGUGUUGAGUGCAAUUUGGUGAUUUUGAUUGCAAGCAGCUAGGGGAGAGGAUUGAGGCUUUCACAUCACAAGUGGCUUUUACAGCACUUUGCUGGUGAGUGAAGGAGAUUCUGGACACCUCUCAGACCAACGGAGUACCUUUUGCAAAGUUACCCAGUGAUGGAAGAAAUAGCAAGUGGGUGCAUUUCCUGUGGAGCUGAAUCAGUCAGCAGAGAAAUCUCCUGAAAUAGCUGGGAGAAGCAGAUGAGGAUCUGGGGCUGUGCUCUGUACCUAUUCAUUUGACAUUGGUUGAGUGCCUUGAGUUACCCCACUGCUGUCAGCAGCCUUUCUAUGCAUAUCCACAUAGAGAGUUGGGAUGCAUGAACAAGUUCAUUUUAGAGGGAAGGGGACCAAGAUGCUUGUUUCAGCAGAAGUAUUUUCUUUUGGUCUAUUUUGGGGUUUGUAUCUUAAUUUUCAAUAAUUUCCUUAUAUUCUUAAUUUUUGGUAACUUAGAGAAACAUAGGUUUCUGAAGAAAAUACUUUUUUUAAAUUGAAAAAUUUGGAUUUGUCUUCAACGGAUGUAUCUUGAGUUUGGGUGAACUGAUGUUUUGCAACCUUCUGAAAUAGAAAAUCAUAGAAUUGUUGAAGUUGGAAGGGAUACUUAAAGGCUAUCUAAUCCAACUGCCCUGCCAUGAAUAGGGACAACUACAGCUCCAUCACGUGCUCAGAGCCCAGCCUUGAAUAUCUCCAGUGAUGGGAAAUACCAAAAAAUCCUUUCAAUUUCUACUCAUUUCUUACAUGAAGCUAAAAGAGAAAUGAAAGUAUGCAGGGGUAUCUGCACAAAUAGAAUGGAGAUGACUGAAAUCACUUCUGGUCAACCAGGCUGUGCCUGAAUGGAUUACACUCAGCUAAAACCAUGGCCGCCUCUGCUUCUGACUUCUGAUGCAUUCAGUUCCAAGAAGCCUUCUCUUCUUGAGUCAGUAAAGCACGUUUGUUGCUCCUGUUUCCUAAUGAACUUCCUGAACACUUGCCAAGAUGCUCAUAACAAGAAAUGUUAUGAAAGCCAUUUCCUAAAUGGUUUGAGGCUUAAUUUGAUCCUUAUGGCCCGAGGUAAGUUGAAGACUUUUGAUCUGUUUAAACACAGUUCUUCAUUUUAUAGUUGGGGCCCUUUGGGCCCUGCAGCAGUCGUUCAUUCACUUCUUGUGCUAAACUGUUACAUUUUGUUCUUAAUCAUUGUCUUGGUGAUAAAGGUGAUUUAUAACCUUGAUUUUCCUGUUUGGAGUGAGAUAUGACAGCUACAGUCUCUUGGGUAUAGUGCACCCUCCAUCAAGCAAACCAUUAAUUCUAGCACCCAGUUUGGAGGUCCUGAGACACAUGCAUAUCCCCUUAGAUAAAUGAAGUCAAUUAAAUCUCCCAUUAAGAUUUCCUAGCUUCCACAGAUGUUUUUUUCUUUUUCUCAUAUGAUAAUCAUUAAAAUUGCAUGCGGAGCCAUUUGUACGUUUUAACAUUAGCAUUCACUGCUCUGAAUCUGUUGGGGAGUGAGAGGAUUGUCACAAUUUUCAUCAGCUUCCUUUUGCUGUCAUCGUAAUCCUUCCAAAGGGAGCUGCUGCAGCCGGAUUUAUCAUUGGGUGAAAUGUGUUUGCACUAGCAAGUGAACAAAAAAACCAGAAUGCCUAAUCCAGGACUUUCCUGGGAGUCCAUUUGUAAAAUGGAAACGUUUUCUGAGAAAUUAUUUCUGAAGAAAUGAAGGGCACCAGGGAAUACUGUGCCUGGCUGGCGGCUGGCUCUUCCUUAUUCUGUUGAGCCAAUACUUUCAGCAACUGAGAAAAGCAAAUUUAAGUGAGAGUCCUUUGUGCUGGGAUCUAGGACUGGUCAGUGCUGAGUGCCCUCAAUUUCCACUUGUAAUGAUGAAGGCAAUGACAGCAUUGGAGAACACAGUAGUGUGAAGUUGAAAGGGGUCUUGUGGGUCAGCACACCAAGCUGCCUGUAAUCAAAAGCAGCACCUCAUAUCCUCCUCUUCACAGUAUGAAGCUCUGUCUUAGAGUCACUUUUUCUCUUCUUUCAAUCUUGCCUGGGAGUUGAUUUAAUGGAACUUGUUUCUAAUCGCCAGCUUAAAUAUAUUAAUGCCCGAUUUCACACCAAUUUUUCUUUGUCAGUGUUUUCCUUCAAAUUCAGAGCACUUACUUCCCUUCUCCUUAUACAAACCAAAAAGAAUCAGAUCCCCUCAGACCCUUCUUUGUCAGGGUGGGCAAACAUCUUUUCAGGAGAAUUAUCCCUCCUAAUCUUGCCCUUUGGAAUACCACUUCACCCAGUGUAGUGUUGCCCUUUUUGCAGAAGAAUGACUGCAAUUACAGCCAUCGUACAAAUGAAUGAAUUAUAUCUUUAUUUCUGCUUGGAAACACAGAUGCCUACCAAAAGAUAUAAGUAAAGAAUCCCAUUCUUACCGAAGAGCCUACAACUAGAUUUUGGUGUGGGGUACAGCUCACCUGACUUCAGAUUUCUAAUAGAUACGCCUUCAAUCUCAGGCUUCUUUCUAUUCAGUAAAGAUGGACAGGGAACAGGUAUCUUCCCAAAACAAUAGAAGAUAUAUUCCAAAGAUAACUACAUUGCAUGUUCUGGGCACGUGCGUGGCCAUCCUUGAAUUUAAGUAAUCUGGGAAGAGGUAAAGAAUUAAAUUGUUUCACACCAAAAGUCUUUGUGAUUUCAAUAGGCUGGUGUGAAGGACCAGGAAGCCCUCCAGCAGUCUGUGGUGCAAGUGGUUCCUAUAGAGAUGAGCAUGAUAACAGUGGAAUGCAUAAGUGCAUUUACCAGCAAGAGUACAUCAUAUAGGCCUCCCAGACAACAAGGGGGACUUGCAGGUUGAUAAUGGCUCUCCAAAGGAGAGGUGCCUUGGAUUUACAGCUCAAGGACAGCGUCUUCAUCAAAUCUUAAUGAAAAAUUAAUUUUAAUUCCCAUUUAUUUUACUUUACAACAUUUGCUGACAAUGAGCUCUACUGCUCUAAUGAAUUAUGUCCUAUUACAGACCUGUCAAGUCUGCUGAAAGAGGAACAGAGAUUAUUUUGCAUUUUUCUGCAUGAGCUUUUAUUCUUCGAGAGUGUGAGAUCCUGUACUUUGAGAAUUUUGACUAACUAAACCAGAGGCUAUUCCAUUUAACUUGGCCCAUUUGCAGCAAAAAGGACUAUAUGUCAAGUACAAAUUAAUAUCAGCCUCAACUUCUUUCUGCUGGUGGAGAGAGCUUAAUCCUCAGUAACUGUUGUUUGUGAUACCCUAGUCUAAGUGUGGGACUAGAAGCAAGGAAACUCAAUCUUAUUAGGCACAAAACAAAGGUAUAUCUAAACAAUGCUCCAGCUACUUCUGAAACAGAGCUCUCUCUUGAAGAAACAUAAAGUAGGAAUUAAUUGCAAUUUAAUACCACACAAUUUGACAAGACUGUGAAGUAGUUUGGGACAGAAGAAAGAGUGUUGCUCAGGAAACAAAAUUUGGCACAUAAUUUCUGUGUUCAGUAAAUUGAAAAAUAAUGUACUUGGGAAUGAUAUUCAUAGCCACUCAGCAGGCGGAGAGGGAGCAGGGAAUGUCAGAGCCUGCAUGUACCUCCUUAACUUGCU